rnacentral:rRNA from 1 species
CUGCAGUCGAGCGGCAGCGACUUACUGACCUUCGGGGGACGUAAAGGGCGGCGAGCGGCGGACGGGUCAGUAAUGCCUGGGAAUAUGCCCUGUUGUGGGGGAUAUCCAUUGGAAACGAUGGCUAAUACCGCAUAUACUCUUCUGAUCAAAGAGGGGGACCUUCGGGCCUCUCUCGUCAGGAUUAGCCCACGUGAGAUUACCUUGUUGGUAUGGAAACGGCUUACCAGUGCCACCAUCUCUAGCUGGUCUGAUAGGAUGAUCAUCCACACUGGAUCUGACACACGGUCCAUACUCCUACGGCAGGCAUCAGUGGGGAAUAUUGCACGAUGGGGGAUGCCCAGAUGCAGCCAUGCCGCGUGUGUGAAGAAGGCCUUCUGGUUGUUAAGCACUUUCAGUCGUGAGGAAAGGCGGCUAGGUUAUUACCCUGGUUGUUUGACGUUAGCGACCAGAAGAAGCACCGGGUUAGUCCGUGCCAGCAGCCGCGGUAAUACGGAGGGUGCGAGCGUUAAUCGGAAAUUACUGGGCGUAAAGCGCAUGCAGGCGGCUUGUUAUGCCAGAUGUGAAAAGCCCGGGGCUCAACCUCGGAAUCGCAUUUGGCAACUGGCCAGGCUAGAGUCUUGUAGAGGGGGGUCAUGUAUUUACAGGUGUAGCGGUUGUAAUGGCGUAGAGAUCCUGAAGCGAAUACCAGUGGCGAAGGCGGCCCCCUGGACAAAGACUGACGCUCAGAUGCGAAAGCGUGGGGAGCAAACAGGAUUAGAUACCCUGGUAGUCCACGCCGUAAACGAUGUCUACUUGGAGGCUGGAAUCUUGAACUCUGGCUUUCGGAGCUAUCGCGUUAAGUACACCGCCUGGGGAGUACGGUCGCAAGAUUAUAACUCAAAUGAAUUGACGGGGGCCCGCACAAGCGGUGGAGCAUGUGGUUUAAUUCGAUGCAACGCGAAGAACCUUACCUACUCUUCACAUCCAGAGAACUUUCCAGAGAUGGAUUGGUGCCUUCGGGAACUCUGUGACAGGUGCUGCAUGGCUGUCGUCAGCUCGUGUUGUGAAAUGUUGGGUUUAGUCCCGCAACGAGCGCAACCCUUAUCCUUGUUGCCAGCACUCGGGUGU